UAUGAAAUCCUACCAGUUAUGAGCUGCUACCUGAUGGCAGUGGGACUGCACAGGACUCCUACAUCAUUCAUGGACAGACACACACAGCAGGAUAUGUGUGCAGAGCUGGAAGAGGAGACCCAGAGUAUCACACUGAUCACAGUCAACCAAAGUUUGUCUGGUCUGCAGAUGUUCAUUCAGCAGCGUCUCUCACAGUGAGUCCUGACAGAGUGCAACACUUCACCUCUGACUCUGUCUCACUGACCUGUGAGGGAAACUUCACUGAGUGGAGAGUGAGGAAGUU